rnacentral:rRNA from 1 species
AUGGAGCCGCCGUCGCCGUCGUGUUUCUCGAAGAGGCCGUCGUCCAAGGACAUCGCCGGCGACCGAGCCAAGCCUUGCGAGGAUGACUCCUCUGCUCUCUCCCCUAUCCUGCCGACGCCCUCUUCAGCUCCUGCUCCUCCGCCGCCGUCAAAGGGGAUAGCCGGGGACCAAGCCGAGCCCUGCGUGGCUGCUCCCUCCCCGAUCCCGGUGAUGGCCUCUUCGGCCCCUGCUCCCCUCCCUCCUCCUAUUCUACCCCAAGAUUUGAUGGAAGUUACCAUGGGUGAUGUCGACAACCAAAUGGUGUUGACAAUCGACAAGCAAGCUGAAAAGUGGGAAGCCAUGGAGCAGGAACAACAUGUGUGGAAUGCUAUCGAUGAGGAACGGAAAUUAGAAAGGCAGAAGGAAAAACGAAGGCAUAAGGAGAGAAAGAAAAGCCUGGAAGAGAAGAGGAAAGAGAAGAGAGAAGAGAAGAGGAAGAAGCUAGAGAAGAAGAGGAAAAACCAGGAGGAGGAGGAGUUGCAGGGGAAGAGGAAACAUGCUCGUUCAAUGAACUAUUCUGAAUUUGUUCAAGGAGCUACAACAGAGGGGCUACAGAGACGAGAUUCUCCACCUAUGACACAUAGUCAAAGAGCGACAAGAUCACCAUUGGUAAGGUCACCGGUGGCGAGCACGUGGAGAUCUUCCCUUGGUCUUUUAGCAAGAGUUGUAGCCUCAAAAAGGGGCAGGUCUCCCUCAACGAGGAUUGCAAGUUCCCCAUUGGAGGAGAGGGCAAAUUCGUCCGCGAGAUCACCAUCUAUCUUAGGAUCCCCUUCUCCAGUGACUACUCCAUUUGGAGGCUCAAAAAUUAAUCAUCCACAUGUCCGCAAGACAAGAAGGCUAACUUCUGCUGUUUGGAGGGAUUUCAAACCAAUUUAUCGUCAUAAGAUACUUGUCAAAGCUCAGUGCAAGCACUGUCAUGAAGUGUUUCAAGCUGGACGAGAUGUUGGCACAAGUGGUGUAAGAAGACACUUGGCUGCUUGCGAAAAAAGGUCAGAUUUACACCUCUACGUUGAGAAGAUGAAGUCCUCGGUUUCAUCUCCUGAUGCCUCUAUGCUUAAGCAAUGGAACUUUGAUCAAGAAACAUCUAGAGAUUUGCUUGCCAGAAUGAUAGUAAUGCAUGAGUUGCCUUUCUCAAUAGUUGAGUACAGUGGUUUUAGAGACUUCGUGAAAAGUUUGAAUCCCUUGUUCAAAAAUGUUUCUAGAAAUACUAUUAAAGAUGAGUGCAUGAAACACUAUAAUUUGGAGAGGUCGGCGUUCUCUGGACAUUUGAAGAAAUACAGUGGUAGAGUUUCUUUAACAGCGGACAUGUGGACAUCUAAUCAUACUUUGUCCUAUCUAUGCAUCACUUGCCAUUUGAUCAACAGCAAGUGGAUUUUGCAAAAGAGGAUCUUCAGAUUUUUUAUGGUGGAGACUCCACAUAAUGGAGUAACAAUGUUUAAUGUCUUAUUAAAGAGUUUGCAGGAGUGUAAUAUUGAGGACAAACUCUUUAGUAUGACAUUGGAUAAUGCAUCAGUUAAUGGUACAAUGGUCAAUAAUCUUAGAAAAAAUCUGAACAGCAAGCAUAUGUUGCCUAUUAAAGGUCAAUUACUUCAUAUCCGUUGUGCAUGCCAUGUGAUAAAUUUGAUUGUCCAAGAUGGUUUGACAACGAUGAAAGGUGUGAUAGAUGAUAUCAGAGAGAGUGUGAAGUACAUUAAGAGUUCUCCCUCUCGGUUGGACAAGUUCAAAGAAGUAGUUGCGCAAGUUGGUAUCUCUUGCAAACUCCCCUCGGCUGAUGUGCCAACACGUUGGAACUCCACCUAUAUUAUGUUGGAGUCAGCGCUCCCCUUUCGAAGAGCCUUUCGUGCUUUGGUGCAAAAGGACCCAGAUUAUGUGUUUUGCCCAUCCUCAGGAGAGUGGAAAAAUGCUGAUACAGUUUGUGCUAUGUUAAACGUUUUUCACACAGCCACAAAUGUACUUUCUGGUUCAAGUUAUUCUACCUCAAAUUUGUACUUUCAUCAAAUCUGGAAUGUGAGGUUAUUGUUGCAGAAGGAAGCUUCAACAAAGGAUGAAGUCGUUCAAGCAAUGGUUGGAGAGAUGCAAAAAAAGUUUGAUAAGUAUUGGAUGGAAUCAUAUUUGCCAAACUGUAUUCCUGUGAUCCUUGAUCCACGAUUUAAACUUUGCUUCAUCGAGUUUCGACUAAAACAAGCUUUUGGUCCAGAUGUAGAAAGACACUUGCUUGCAGUGAAAGAAGUUCUUGACAACCUUUUCGAAGAAUAUUCUUCACAAAUGACGGAUGCAUUGGAUGAGUCAGCACCCCGACAAAAUUUUGAUGAGGUUGUGAAUGAAGAGAAUGAUCCGUUGGCGGAUUGGGACCAACACUUGAAUAAGAAGCAACGCCAAACUGCUAGUGAGCUUGCCAGAUACUUAGAAGAAGACACAUUCACUCGCACAGAGGAUUUCAACAUUCUUCAAUGGUGGCAUCUUCACUCGUCUAAGUAUCCCAUCCUUUCUUGUAUAGCUCGUGAUGUUCUUGCUGUACAAGCUUCCGUCGUAUCGUCAGAGUCGGCUUUCAGUACCGGAAAGCGUUUGAUCAGCGAUUACAGAAGUAGAUUGUGCAGCGAGACAGUGGAAGCCUUAAUCUGCCUUCAAGAUUGGUUUAGAUGUAAUGAUAAGCAUGCCAAUGCUCCUGAUCAAGGUCACUACUAUUAA